AUACGGAGGAUCCGAGCGUUAUCCGGAUUUAUUGGGUUUAAAGGGUGCGCAGGCGGCCAUUUAAGUCAGCGGUUAAAUCGUGGGGCUCAACCCCAUUCUGCCGUUGAUACUGGGUGGCUUGAUUGCGGUCGAGGUUGGCGGAAUUCGUUGUGUAGCGGUGAAAUGCAUAGAUAUGACGAAGAACACCGAUUGCGUAGGCAGCUGACCAGACCGCAAAUGACGCUCAUGCACGAAAGUGCGGGGAUCGAACAGGAUUAGAUACCCUGGUAGUCCGCACAGUAAACGAUAAUGACUAACCUUCGGCGAUAGACCGCCGGUGGCCAAGCGAAAGCGAUAAGUCAUCCACCUGGGGAGUACGACCGCAAGGUUGAAACUCAAAUGAAUUGACGGGG
rnacentral:rRNA from 1 species